UACGUAGGGGGCUAGCGUUGUCCGGAAUCAUUGGGCGUAAAGCGCGUGUAGGCGGUCCGGUAAGUCCGCUGUGAAAGUCGAGGGCUCAACCCUCGAAUGCCGGUGGAUACUGUCGGGCUAGAGUGCAGAAGGGGCAACUGGAAUUCUCGGUGUAGCGGUGAAAUGCGUAGAUAUCGAGAGGAACACCUGCGGCGAAGGCGGGUUGCUGGGCUGACACUGACGCUGAGGCGCGAAAGCCAGGGGAGCGAACGGG
rnacentral:rRNA from 1 species